UUUUUUUUUUGUCUUUUUAGGGCUGCACCCACAGUAUAUGGAUGUUCCCAGGCUAGCGGUUGAAUCAGAGCUGCAGCUGCCAGCCUAUACCACAGCCAUAGCAAUGCCAGAUCUGAGCUGCCUCUGAGAUCUACACUGCAGCUCACAGCAAUGGGCAAUCCUUAACCCACCGAGCGAGGCCAGGGAUUGAACCUACGUCCCUAUGGAUCCUACUUGAGUUUGUUUGUGCUGAGCUACAGUGGGAACUCCAAGAAUUAAUAUUGAAGGAAGGAGAUAUACAAGGACAGGGCCAUGCCAAGGGGCACUACUCCUGUGUGUAGGGAGGUGCCUUUAAUUUGGACUUAACAAAAAUACCUAUCAUACCUGAUAAGACUGGUCAAAAGCCACAACUAUCUGUAUAAUACUUCUAUAUUUUAUAUUGAAUUUAUUAAUGGCAAUUUACACAACAUUAUCUCUUUCCCAUGGGAUGGUAGGGCUCUAUCAAAAUAGGUCAAAAAUCCUUUGCUUUAAAACAGGCAAAAUGUAUAUUCAUAAGUCCAUGAAAUUUAUUUCUUAGAGCCCCAUUUUGUCCAUAAAUUCAGAAGUUACCCCUGAAACAAAAAAUUCUACUCAGGCAUUUUGUGCUGAAGUUGAAACAAUAUGAACACAAAUAUAACAAAUUUAGACCCAAGACUUUUUUUUUUUUCUUGAAAAAGCCUUUCCACUUCUGAAGAAAUGUCCUCUCAAGGGACCUGAACAUGUCCAGCCACUGACUUUCUCACAAACAGGAUUUGGAGGGAGCUGGGUUUUCCAUGGUGAAAACAUCCAGAUUCAUCGCAAGAAGAAAAUUUCCCACAACUAGCUAAACUCAAAUCUUUAAGGAAACGGUAUGUUACAUUACUGAAAUGUUUAUAUCCAGGGUCUCAGAGGCAAAUACAUCGUCCACAUGAUUGGGUAAAUAUUUCUUUUAGAACGUAAACAUAAUUUUUAUUCUGAAAAUCUUAACGACAGAGUUUUUUGGUUUUUUUUUUUUUCCAAGGAAGUUUGGAAUUAAAAAAUAUUUAAGGCAGCCAGCUUUUUGAUUACAUUGCCAAGGAGUCCUAAACUUGAACAUUUACCAAGGAUAUUAGGGAAAGGUCGCAAGAAGAUAAUGAUUGACCCCAUGUGAAUUGUCCACGUUCGCCAUAAAAUAUUUCCCAUUCCUCAUAGUUGCAAACUGGCUGGUUAGUGUGUAAAAUCAGUGUGGAUUUGGGGCCGGGCUGAAGGGCUUGCUUGGAGGGCAGCACUGGGUCACACAGAACCGUGUUCUCUGUGACACGCCAGCAAGGCCCACACUCUUGUCUCUGAGGCAGUCACUCUAGAUGGCCCAGAGGGUACGUAAGAGCUCUUGUGCCCAGCACCCAGACUUGGGGUGAUGAAAGCAAAGGAUGUAUUUCCAAGAAUGAUUUGGUCUUUAUUUAUUUAUUUGCUUUUUACAGCUGCACCUGUGGCAAUGGAGUUUCCCAGGCUAGGGGUCGAAUUGGAGCUACAGCUGCUGGCCUACACCACAGCCACAGCAACGCCAGAUCCGAGCUGUGUCUGUGACCUACACCACAGCUCAUGGCAACGCCGGAUCCUUAACCCACUGAGUGAGGCCAGGGAUCGAACCUCUGUCCUCAUGGAUGCUAGUCAGAUUUGUUUCUGCUGAGCCACGAGGGGAACUUCUGGUUUCAAUUUAAAAUUCAAUUCAAACUGGAUAACAAAAACUGUAGGUUUAGCUCCCCUGGGACUCUGGCAUAAAUCUCAAGGCGAUGGUAAACUAUGGGGAGGGGGUGGGUGGGAAAAUAGAGUUUUUAGGAUGACUGCUGAGUGUGAUUUGGGCAACAUGUAGUUGGACCAAGGGACAGACAGGUCCCUCUGCUGCUGGCAAGACAGUGUCCAGACAGCCCAGGAGGCGGCCCUCAUGGCUUCAGCAGAGGCUGAGCUGGUCUUCGGGGUCUGAGCACAGUUCAGACACACCUUCAGGGCUUGAGGGGCCCAGCAGCAGCAGAGAGAGGAAGAAAGCACAGAGGACUCAUGGGUUGCAGAGAAGUCUACAUAUAAGCACAUGUGAGCAUCGCAGGGGGUCUCCAGACCUUGUGUGUGUGUGUGUGUGUGUGUGUGUGUGUGUUAACUCAGUAGACCUGAGGCUGCUGCAGGUUCUGGUGAAGCCAAAGCCACAGGCAGAGGCCUAGUUACUAAAUCUGUGACCCAGUGUUUACUUCUCUGCUGGAAGGCUUAAGCAGAGAGAGGCUGUGGUACCAGUUCUUGCUGCAAUAUUACCCCCCCAUCACAAAUUCUUUUAAUUAAACAGUUGGAAUCAUAUGUUAAAAAUACUCCGGAGAACUAUGUAAAUUUAUGUAAAAAAUACAUUAAAACCAAAUAAUCACAUAAUGGGUAGAUUUUUUUAACAUGUAUUUCUCAAAUAAAAUUCCUAUAGAUGUAUGCAUAUAUGUAUGUAUAUGUAUGUAUAUGUGAGUACGUGUGUGUGUAUAUAUAUAACGAGUUAUAUAUGAAUUAAAUCCUUAAGCAAAGAGCAAAAAGAAUAUUUCUCUUUCUCUCUCUCUCUUUUUUUUAGGGCUGUACCCGCAGCCUAUGGAAGUUCCAAGGCCAGGGGUUGAACUGGAGCCACAGCCACAGAAACGCCAGAUCCUUAACCCACUGAGCAAAGCCAGGGAUCCAACCCAUGUCUUCAUGGGUACUAGUUGGGUUCAUUACCACUGAGCCACGAUGGGAACUCUGAGAGUAUUUCUCUUUAAAGUUUUCUAUUAUUAAUGAUUUCUAGGGAAGAAAGGUGGCAGUGCACUUUUUGGAGGGGAGAAGGGGGAGUCGGAGCUAGCCUCACCAGAGACAACUCCGAUACUAUCUUCAUCUGGAAUAAGUGUUUGAUAUCUGUUUGUGAGACAGAUUCCAGAAAAGGAGAAUAUUAAAUAAGUUAAAGGAAAGCCAAAAAUAUUUCCCCUUCACUAAUAGUCUAAAUAUUCACAAGACAUUUAUCACUAUGAAAUGCAUGACUGUGAGACUCUAAUUAAAUUGCUAUUUCUAGCCCUUGAGCUACAGUGAGAAUUCUAUAAAGGAGGCCAUAAACCAGUUAUCAACUAUUUUAAUCACAGUUUGAAUUAACACAAGAAAACAGUACCCAAGGAGAGGGCAUAAUUUUUACUCACAUUCAACAGGCUUAAAAUUCCAAACCAGACAGCAAGUUCUCCAUAGACAAGGUCUGUUUCUCUUAUUUCUCUGUUUACACUUAGGGCACUGAAUAGGGCUCUGCAGAGUCUGUACUGCAUAAAUCUUACAGGCUGACUUGCAAGAGUCUCUUAAAAAAAAUCAUAAAAACAUCUUUUAACUCAAAUUCCAGGUUAGAACAUCCUGUGAGGCUCUCUGCCCAGUAAUCAUAAACUCAUCAUGUAAUGAUGUCAGCAAUUGGACAUGCUCACAAACCUCAUGCAAAGGCAUUCGUGUUGCUAAAUUUGCACAGAGGAAGUCUCUGGCUUGCUGUCAAAAAUCAGACAUGUGGACAUUGUGAUUCAGUGUUGUCCUAGCAUCAGUUCAAGAACUAGCAAGGAAAAGGAAAUGAGAAGAAAGAAAUGAAUUUGUAGAUUAGAUGCAAAGGAUGCCAUAUCCUGACAGUUCCUGCCUCUUACUCUCUUUGGGUCCCUGCAAGCCCGCCCUGGCCAUGUGGGUUUCCAGAAUCACACAUAUAGAUGUUGAUGGGGUCACCACUCAGGCUGCUCUCCAGAAAAAUGAGAACCUCUAAACAGGGACAUUGGAAACAUCUGUUCAACAAUUAUUUGUAAGUAUCCAGUAUGUGCCACUUAUUGAUCUAAUUAGUAGGGCUCCAAGCGUGAGCAAAACUGGUCCUCUGAUUUUUAGGAGAUUCAAAAAACUCUGGAAAGAAAAGAAGUAUCAAAUACUUUGAAGAGAAUGAAUUAUAAAUUAUGGAGCAGUUAUCUUACUAUAAAUAUGCACUUAAUGCUCGCAAUGACACAUAGUCAAAAUUUUAGCCUGGUUCUGCUUCAAGCCACCAGCUUCAUGUCACCAUGGGAGCUGGAAAGCACUAGCAAGGGUCCUCUAAUGUCUUUUUGGGCUCUAAUUUGUAAUCAUCUUUUCCUCUUUUUUGGGGGGAAGGUGGUGGUGCCUGCUAUAUGCAGAAAUUCUCCUGGGCCAGGGAUUGAACCCACACCAUAGCAGUAACCCAAGCCACAGAAGUGACAAUGCUGGGUCCUCCACCUGCUGGGCCACUAGAGAACUCCUUCCCCUUUUUAAAAUUAUUCUGAUUUGACUCUUUCCUCUCAAGUCUCAUUGCUGCUUUUGCCUUCUGGUCUUGGACCUACCAAGGUUUCACCAACUAAAUAUGUAUUUAUUUAUUUAUUUUUAUUUAGGAAGUUUUCAAAUGUGCACAAAGUUGACUGCAUCAUGAGUCGACAAAUGAUUCAUUUUUAUUAUACGAUGAAUCUCCAUGGACUUAUCCCGGCGCUUCAGCCAUCAUCAUUGUUUUGCCAAUCUUAUUGCAUGUGUCUUUGCUGCCUUUUUUACAAUGUCAAUUUUAUUUUCAUCACUUGAGAUAUUUCAAUUUUGAAUGAUCACUGAUACAUCAAACAGGAUUUCUAGUCAGGGGGCUUAAUGCCUAGCAAAGAGUAGACCUCAAAAUAUUUGCCACAUGAAAUAUGCUUCCGUGAAACAUGUACAGUGCUUUUACAGUGGGAGAAGUUUUCAGGUUGUCUAGGGUUGGAAAAAAAGAUAGACAUUCUGAGUUCAGUGUUAGAAGGUGAGGCCUAGGAGAACUCCUCUGUAGGACAUGCCAAGCUUGUCCAGCUGUCUCUGUCCUGUUUUCCAUCCACAGCCCAGUCAAAGGAGGUAUUCAAACAGCAAAGGAGGGGAGCAAGCGUGGCAUGGUAGCAGCACCAAAGGUAAAGGCCAUCUGUCCUGAAGCCUUUUAUUAUAAAAUUUGUAUCUACUUUCCAGGCUCAUAAGUGGUACCAAUUUCCUGGAAAU
rnacentral:lncRNA from 1 species